CGGAGGCUAUGCGUCUCACCUGUGGUCACGAGUUGUUAGUUCGUUCGUGAUGUAGGAAUUCAGGCUCACUCAGGCGGAGGCUAUGCGUCUCACCUGUGGCCACGAGUUGUUUAGUUAGUUCGUUCGUGAUGUAGUUUAAGUUAGGUCAUAAUGUAGUCGUCAAGCUUUCGGGCGGAGGCUAUGGCCCUCGUCAGGGGUCACGCGUCAUAGUUUUUAAAAUGUAAUGUUCGUUCGGGAUUUCAAGGGCAGGAGAGGCCCCUACGUUAUUUUUUUAAAGUAAUCGAUCAAGAAAGGCUUUUCGGAAAAUGUGAGUAUGGACUUAUCUUUGUUUUAAUUUUAAGUAUUAAUUAUGAUUUGAGGUAUUCGGAAGGACUAGGGAAGUGUUUAGUGAAGUUCUCUCAUUCUCUCUCUUGUAAGGUCGUUCAAUCGUUAAGGAAGUAAAGAGAUUAUUGUUUUAAAUUGUAAUCCCGCUAUUUAAAUGUUCUUUAAAAUGAUGUUGAGUAUUUGACUUUAAGAAUAAAAUAAUUUUAAUUAAGUAUUAUGUUAUUUUGCAAAAUCUCCUUAGUUCAGCUCUCACCAGACAUCCUGUACGGGAUGACGAACCUAUGAUCCUAGGUACAGUAAAGUAUUUUAUGAAGUUAAGACUAGUUGAUGCCAAGCGAGUUGUUUCUAUGUAAAGAGCUACGAUUCUCUCCCCCCUCUGAAAGUGGAUCGUGACAGAAAUGGCGGUGGCACCGGCUAGGUGCACGUGACAGAAAUGGUGGAGGCGCCGGGUAGGUUCUAUUUCUGGAGAGAGAGAGAGGUAGAUUUUUAUGUUUAUUAUUAAGUUAGUUUCAGCUUCUGAUAGCAGGUUAUUAAGAGUUUACUUGAGGAGAGGAUUACGGAAUUUUAGUCUAUAGUGGAGGAAGUCUUUGAGAUUUUUUUUUUGACGUAACAGAUGUUUAUUUGAGGAUACUUGUAAGGAUAAAGUUUAUAGUGAUAAGUUGUUUUAAGUCGUUGAAUUUAUUGUAGAUUUAUAUCGGGGAUUAUUACGUGAGGAGAAUACGUUAUAAGUUAAAUGCUUAUUAGAGAUAAUGCAAGUGGUUUAAUUUAAUUGAAAUUAAUUUUAAGAUUGUAGGUUAAGAGAGUUAAAAUUUAAAAUAAAGUUUUUUUCGUAAAUAGGAAUUACUUUCAAGUGAAGUUUGUUUUGUUUUCGUGCGCGUAGGAGACGAGACGUACGAAUUAAAUCAGUCGAGGGAAGGAUAAACGUUAGAAAGGAAUUAAAAAGAAAACGAGAGUUUAUGUAAAAGAGAGUUAUAGAAUUUAUAGUGAUGUUUUGUUUUAAUUAGAAAAAUGUUGAGAGUUGUUUCAGAACGACACGUCAGUGGACGUGGCAGAAUGAACACGUGACGGGGAGGUGCUGAGACCUAGCGGAGAACGGAGGAACCGCAAGCGAGGGUUGGCGCACCUGAUGGAAUUCGGUGACGUCACGGGCUCAUACGGAGACGUGGACAGGCCGUGACCUUGUUUUGAUCAGCUGUACGGUAACUUAGCGAUAAGAAAAUAGACUAUUGGUUAAAUAAAUUUAAAUUUAAGUGUGUUUUAGAAGAAGAGUAACUUUCAGUAUAUUCCUUAAGAUGAGCUGAGCAGCAGUCCAGUUUACAAGAUGACAAGAGUUCGAGAGACAAGAUACAAGAUCACUGAAACAAGAGCCAAGACUGAAGAUUCAAGAGAAGAGAAAGCUGGCAGCCAUGGACUUACAAGUGGAGAUUAAUAAGGUCAUGUAAAGUUUUAUUUUUUUUUAUGGAAGACAGUAACUGGAGUUUUUUUUUUGUUAUAAACAUUAUUUACAGAACUUUUUAGGUUAUAGUAAUGUAAUGGAACUAGUGAGUUGUGGUAGCUGUCAAAAAGAACUAAUACCUUAAGUUUAAUUUUUAAAGUUAAUUUUCUUAAUUUACAGAGGGAUUAGUAGUUUUUUUUAAACCUUAUUUAGGUUGGAAUUUAAAGAUAAUAGUUUAUUAUAAAUGUGUACGAACAGUUCAAGUUCACAGUACUGAUAGGUAGGUCAGAUGAUCUUAUUGAUUUUGAUGAUUUGUUGUUUUGAGUUGAUUUAUAAGUGUUGUGAAUUAGACAAUGAAAUAGUUCUGAAAACUUAAAUUAUUUCAAGCUAAGAAAUAGUAAAGUUAAUUGUAACUCAAAGGACACCAGAAUUUAAUUUUUUUUUGAAUUAGUAAUGUUUGAAAAUUUUAUACUUUACAAGAAAGGUUAUAAACAAACAGAUCGGAUGGAACAAGGAUGCAGUAAAUCACAAUUUCAUUUAGAAUUAUUGAUUUGCUUUUGAGGUUAUGAAGGAAAAGUAGCUAUAAUUUAAAAAUUUGAAUAAAAAUGGUUUUUUUUUAUUUGUUUGAAAUAGAAAGUUUAAAAGUUAAUUAGUCAUGAUCUAGGUGGGUGAUGGGGUGGGAAUUGGCCACUCUUUUUCCCUAUAACCUCCCUAACAUGGCCUUCUAUUACAACUAACAGAAAUAAAGAAGAAGAAAAAUGAAGAAUUAUUAGUUAGAAUGUUUCUUUCAUGAAGAUACCUGAUGAACUUUUACUGUUUGGAAGAAUAGAAGCAAGGUUAGUCAGAUAUUUUUACUCAGAAGAAGAAGAAGAUAAAGCAGUUUUAUGACUCGACAAGCCAGAGAUUGGUGUUUCCCCUCUGCGCUUCUAUUGACUACGUUGUUUACUCUCAUGGGAUAGCUGGUUCGGCACCAUGGAGAGAGAUUGGUGGGCAUUGUGGUUGCCCCCAGAAGAAAAGAAGAGUAGAAGAGGUUAUGGGUGGGUCAUGUGAACUGACCUUCAACCCAGUUACUUCGUGGGGACUAUUUGCUGUAUAGAGAAGAUCAAGACUCAAGAGUUAGGGAAAAUCAUUGGAGGUCAUGUUUCCCUUCCUUAAGUUUUUCCUAUCAAAUUAUUUGCCUGAUUAGAUUAUGCUAAGGGUGGGAUACUUUAUGUUAGCAGUUGAAUUAAUUAAUUUUAUUUUUUUGUGUGUUUGCAUCCUUGCCCAUCGAUUGCAGUUUAGUAGUUAGUUUUGUAUUUGUCAGGCGUGAUGGUAAUGCCUGUUGAUGAUGUUUCAGAAUUGUAAUCUGUUCGUGAUGAGGAUGGCACAACUCCGAAGCAGAUGUGGGGAGAAGUUGUGAGCUGCCCUGGAAGCCAGUCCAGUAGCUGUUGGAGUUGAGUGGUGUUUGCUGAUGGCCAGCCCAGGGAGCUACUCUUCUCGACAACACUGACUUCGAGGAGUUGCACCAACCUUCACGAGAUAAGAGUUUAAUUAAUUGAAACACUGUAAGGACACUUAAUUUUUUUUGAAGAACGAAAGAAGUAUGGUAAUAAACGGAAACCGAAAAAAAAAAAA